rnacentral:rRNA from 1 species
UAUUAUUUUUGAUGUAAAGUUUAUUUAUACUUGAGUAGUAUUGGUUAUUGUCCUUAAACUUAAAGAAUUUGGCGGUAUUUUAGUCUUUUUAGAGGAAUCUGUCCCUUUAUCGAUAAUCCACGUUGUAACUUUCUUAAUUGUUUGUUUAUAUACCGCCGUUAAAAUUGAGUGUUUUUGUAGAAUUUUAUAAUUUUCUAGUUUUAUUAUUAUAUUUUAUUUCAGGUCAAGGUUUAAUUUUUAAUUAAGUGGAGAUGGAUUACAAUAUAUUUUUAUAUACGGAUUAUUAAUUGUAAAUUUAAUAUGAAGGUGGAUUUAAUAGUAAUUGAUUUUAGAAUAUUUUUUUGAAAUAUAGCUCUAUAAUAUGCACAUAUCGCCCGUCACUCUCGUUAUAAGAU